GGGUAUUGUGCCGCGUGUGGGGGGAGAAUUCCUACGGGUGGGUUUCCGAAUAUUGUGUUCAACUUUUUGAAAGCAGCUCGUGACCCCGAAACUGCAUCCCCCGGAGCCGGGGACCCAGGCGCCGGGCGGGCGGGUGAACCCGGUCAGUCCCCUCCCCGUCCCCGAAACCCCCGCCUCCGGGUGGUGGCGACCUGGCCUCUCCCUGCCACUGCCCGGCCAGCCCCGGAGGGAGGCUGGGCAGGUGCUGCGGGCUCUGCCGAAAGCGCUGAAAUAAAAAACCAUCGCCACUCAGGGAGAACUGAGGCAAGUGGGGCUGAGACUCUGGCGACACCCCCGCCCCCCAGCCUCUGCCCCAGCGCCUGCCGCCCUGCCGCCCUGCCGCACCCCGCCUGCUUGGGUGGCGACCGCGGUUCCGGAACGCGAAGCAGGGCAGAGGGCUGCAGAGAGGCGUGUAGCUUUGUGCGCCAGGACCCGGUGGGGCAGGUGGCAGCCCCGGGCUGUCCGCGCCUCCCAGCAGAGCCGAGCUCGGCGCCGCCCACCGAGCCCACCUCGCGGUCCAGCCGCCGCCAGCGCCUUUCGGCUCUGGCCUGAAGCAGUACUCCCGCCUCCUGGAGCGGGGAAAGCCAACGGGUCUGCAGGCCUCCGGGAGACGAGGAUCCGGAGGGUUGGGGCAGCUGCACCCACUUGGCCUUGCUCAGCUCUAAACAGCCGACCAGGAGGCCGGGGGAAGGUUUGCCCUGUGGGGGCAACGCCCCUUCCGGCUCCCAGGAUGUCGGGAGGCGGAGGCUGGCCGGGUGGCCCGUAGUCUGGGCCUCCCCGCAAGCUGCAAACUGAGGCGCUUGGCGCGGGCGGCCAGGGAGGGCGCAGGGGAGCGCAGCACGCAGGCGGGGAGGCCGCGAAGCCCUUCAAGGACCCCGAUUACUUUCCUUUGAAAAACAACAACAACAACUGCUCCCUCCCCGCACCCCCGCCCCCCGCCUUAGCCUCCGGGGACUGGCGCUCCAAGCAAUUGUCGCCCCGGACAGUAAACACAGCUCAGUUGCCUCAACUUUCUCCAUGCAUAAAAGUUCCUGGCGUGCGGGGAAAUUUGAAUAUUUGAUCAGCCCCUUUGAGUGACCCUCAUUAGUCCGGCGCCCUGCUAAGGCCGGGCAUUGCAAGAAAGCUGCUGGGCUCGGCAUUUGUACGCCUUGUUAGCGCAGCUUAAUGAAGCCGCCCCGACGGCUCAAAGGCGGCCUCAGGGGCCGGCGACGCGCACCUCUCGGCACCCUGCUCUGCCUAAUGAGCCCCGCCGCCCUCUAAAGGACCCUCCACCCCCCACAUUCUGAAACAGGGGAAGUUUGGCUCUGUCUUGAACCACGGCACCUCCCACUGCCAGGCCCAGGAGGGUGGGCACAAACCCAGCCUAGCUGCCUGCAGUUACCCAUUCCCAAGAGAGAGGGGCUGGAGAGUUGGGAGGUGUGAGCCAUACUGGUUGGGGGCAGUGCAGGGAGGGGAGCGGGUGGCAGGAGAGGCUUUUGCUGUCUCAGGAUCCAGCCCAGGGAGUGCACUGCCAGCCUCUCCCAAGUGGACCAAUUGCAAAUCAAUUAGUCACUCCAGUUCCUUAAAGGUGCAUCUGGACUAAUGCUGGGGUGGCUGAGGGUCAGCCUUCCAUCCUCCUAUCACCUUAGGUUCCCUUGGCUUCCACUGCCCAGAGGCCACACACUUCUUCCCAAGGUUCCCCUUCUGAACAGCCAGACCUGGUGUGCCAGGACUUGGAUUUGAGAAAGGGUGGGCAGCUCCCCUCCCUAACCCAUCAUUGCCUCCACCAUUCACAGAGCCCAGUCACAUGUUAUGACAAGUGGCAGUAGGGAAGGCAGGGGACCACAGCCCGUCCUGCACUCCCCCUCAACAGAGGUAUCCCUUCUUUGGCUUCUAGUCCCAGGGAGGCCUGGCAAAAAAAGUGCUAUAGGCAAGACCACCCUGCAAGACUGGCCUGGCAGCCUGGCAGAGAGGCAGAGAGCCAGAGCCCUGGAAGGAAGGGAAACCAAAGCAGUCAUCUACUUCACCUUUUCUUAGUGGGGCAGCUGACAUGGCUGGCCAGUAAAUAUAAGACACCCUCUUAAAAAUUGUGCUUCAGUCCUCAGGAAGUGUAGCCUUCCUUCCCUUUCUGUCUCCCCUCUCCUCUGAUGCCCUUUUCCCUGGACAGUCGGAGCUCAAGGUCCUUCACUCCCUCCUUGCAUACACAGCUCUUGGGCCCUUAAGGGUUACUUUUGGGGGGAAUUAAUGCUCUGGGCUUGGGAAGCAGGCUGCUCCAAAUCCACACUCAGGACUUUCUGGACCCCACCCCCCAACACACAAACACAAACAUGCCCAGGAUCCCUCAGACACACAGUGGGCCUGGUCAGGUUGGUAACCUCAGGACCCCGUGCCCGCGUGAGCGUCUCUGGGAGGUCGUGGAAAGGAACCAAAAGGCCAGGUAGGCCCUGGGAUACAGAGAGCCCUCCAAGUCCAUCUGGUUUGCUUCUCUUCCUUUCUCUCUCCCUAGCUCCGCUAGCAUGCCCUGCCCCAUUUCCCAUCACAUAACCCCCUAACUUAACCCUAAACUGGCAAUCUUUAGGCAUCACCUCUGAGCUGGGCAAAGGCGGUGCCCGGGCCUUGAUCGACCCAGAGGGCUAAAGUAGGGGCGGGGAAGGGAGGGGUGUGCGCUGCUGGUGAGAAAGGGGACCUGAGGCGAGGGUAGAACUCAGCCCUGUGGCCUCGAGGCCAGGCCCACCGGCUGCUCAGGGGAGGAGGCGAGGGGAGGGGGCUGGGAGUCCGCAGGCAUCGGUCGGGGCAGCAGGGACCUCAGGCGUCGGCGUGGGGGGCUAGAUCCGGAGGAGAGGGGAGGGGAGGCGGGGGUCGGGGGAUCGCGCAGGGCGGAGGAGGGGUGCAGCUCUUUAAGAGCCACACGGCUGGCAGGAGAGGCGCGCGGCCCGGUGCUGGUAGAGCACUGACCCCGAAGGGGAUUUAGCGGGAAGAGAGUGGCCGGGCUCUGGGGGUUUUGUCCGAGGGGGCCGGGAGAGGCCGAGACACAAGAAUAAGGAGCGGCCGCGGCAUGAAAGGCGGCGAGGAGAGGCAGCACUGCUGCUCUUGACUUCUGAGCAGGGCUUAGAGAGCCUGCCCCGGCUUAAGCCGAGCUGCUGGUGCUGACCCUGAGCGCCGAGUCCGCGAGCUCUGAGUCCGGAGCCUCCCAGCCGUGGAGCCGUGGGAUGAGGGGGGCGUUGGGGGACAGGGCAAAGUCGAUCUUGGUUGUACAGCCGCCCGAUCCUAGCGCGGAGCUGCGAGCCUGACCGGCCGCGUCUGGCAUGGUCAGAGAAAGAAUUUUCUUUUCCCAACUCCGGCUUUUGGUUUUGUGUGUCCACCUUGCGCAACUCCGGAGCCAGCCGACCCCACAUGGAUUCUCAACAGGUGGCCGGGAAAGUCUGGAGACUCACCAAGCUGAGGAGGAAGAAGGGAACAUCUCAACCCAAGCUGAAUUCUGAAGAACACUUGGCCCCAUCUUCCAGAAAUCCUAAAUCACAUAGAGGGAAAGUUUUGGCCAGGGCACCAAGAAUGAACCAGAAGCUGAGUCCAUUACUCCAAUUUUCACAUUAACCAGGAGACACAUUGAAAAUUCUUUUCUUGAGUGAGAGACUGAAAUUUUGGCUCAAGGGUGUUUCUGUUGGGUCUUCUCUUUAUAUGGCAUGUGAGGACUGCAUCCCACGUCACAUCUGCAGCCACUCCCAGAUUACACUGCAAGGGAGGGUAGAUUAGGAGUGGGUAGGGAGUAGAGGGGUCUGUAGACACAGCAAAAGCAGCAAGCUGGUGUGGGAAAACCCAGAAAAUAUGUCUCAGAGACAGCCAGUGGCUGCACAUACAAAAGGAAGGCACCUACCUGGAAGAGAAGGGGUUGUGAAGUUCUGCCCAGAGUCACAGCGCUGACGUCCUCAGAAGGUCUCCAGCCCUCUGCAGCAAUCUAUAGUAUGCAUCAGUAUGGUUGGAAAAGCUUCUUCUAUCAAGUUUAACAACUUUCUGGUGUAACUUCUGAGAGGGCUGAUUGCUUAUUCAUGCGGAAGCAAGACGCCCAGUUCAUUUUGCCCGUUUUUGCUACUCUUUGUUGGGUUUGGGAGGCUGUUAUGGUAGCUGCAAAUGGCUUCUCAAGUGACAUUUGCUGACAUUCAGUGAAGUACAUUUAUCAGUAUUCGCCAGCUCACCUCUACACAUGCAAUCCAUUUUGUUUUGUUCUUCAUAGCAAACUCCUUUCCGACACCCGUGCCCUGAAAAUGAUAAAUGGCAAGGUGGCAUAUUUCUGAAGCUGCACUCAAGUGUCACUGUGAAAAAUCUUUAAUGGACUAAGUGUAGCUUUUCAUGUUACAGCUUGUCAGGUACUGAGAAAUUCUAGAGUUUGUCUUUAAUCCUCAAGUCUUUGGAACCACACUUCUGCAAGCAGAGACUAAUUAUAAGCUGCACCACUCAGACCUGGGCAAGCAGAAACCAAGGAGAAAACAUUUGAUAUCAGCAAAUUCUUUAUUAUUAUUAUUAUUAUUAUUAUUAUUCUCAUUCCAUUUUUGCUCCUUCCUUUCCUACUCAAGAUAUUUGAGGCAUGAGCAAUCUGUGACUCUAAUUAAGGGGGUGACAGCCCCAACCAGGCCACCAUGCAGGCUUAUAAUCCACUCAUACACCCAGCUUUCUCCAUAAUGGCUUUAUUCUUUUCCUCCAAGGUUCAAAAUCACCAUGACUUCUCCCCCACAAAAAAAAAAAAAAAAAGAAAAAGAAAACUGACUCUGAAUCAUAAAUCCUGGCUCCCAAAUAUUGGCCAUAAUUGGGUUUGAUCUCCUGUCUCUUGGGUUGAGAAACCAUCCCCUCUGACUCCUGGCCCCCUGUGACCCCUCCAAAGCCCCCUGUACAGGUCUUUGGCCACACAGAGAUUCAACAGUCUAAUAAUCUAAAAUUGUAAAUGCCACAAUUUGUGUGCGUGUUUACUGUGUCUCAGUUUUGAGUUCUUUUUGAAAUCUUUUAGUUAUUCCAGAAGGGAUAGGAUAAAGAGAAGAAAUCAGUUAUACUCCCAGUGGCCAGGCAUGGUAGGGCAGAAAGAGUGUUGACACUCACUACCCCUGCAGGGGGAGAGGGCAGAGGACCCAGGUUAACUACCCAGAGAUGAGAUGGAUCCUGGUCUAACUCAGGCCCUGGGAUACCUGCACCAAUUGCUCUCAGCAGGUCGAGACAUCACAGAAGAAGAGAAGACAUGUCAACUCUCUACAAUAGUGUCUUAGCCCUGGAGAUACUAUUGGAGAGUGACAACAGACAGCAAACAGGGUUCUAUUCAUAGUGGCCAUGGUUUCCCCAAGCAGAGAACAUAUCCAACCAAAGGGACUUCAGCAAAGCUUUUCCUAAUCUGUGCUCUGAAAUGGCUAAGUAGAAGAGAGCUAUCUAGAGUGUAUGAGGAUGUCUUUAAAGUCAACCUUGCAAUAACUAUUGCAUGCAGACUGUAAUUGUGGGCUAAAAGUGAAGGCUGUUUUGUUAGGUGAGACCCUUCCAGAGCACCUCCUGCAUAUGUACACACAUUCUCUCUCUCUCUGUCUCACACACACACACACACACACCUCCCCCCACAACACACACACACACACACACACACACAACCUCCCCCCACAACACACACACACACACACACACACACACACCUCCCCCCACAACCCACACACACAAAACCAACCCCAUCCCAGGGAACCCAACAGUCAUAGAUCUCAUCUGGAGUCCAACUCCUAAUCCAGGUGUCAUGAUCAUCACGUGAGAGAUAGCAGAAUCUCCACCAAUUUUGGAAAGAACUACUCAAGUGUUUUCUAAAAGAAAUAAUGGAAAAAAGUAAACAGCCAAUUGAAUUGCCAAUAAUAAAAAUAGGAUGUGGCUAUCUCCUAUAUUUUGCCGUUUAUAUCCAAAAUAACUUAUGGACAUGCACAAAACAUCCAUGAAAAUAAAAACAUAACCAUUACCUUCAAAAAUCACCCUGGACCCUUUACAUUCUCACCUCUCUCCCUGCCAGCUAUCUGGCUCACUGAAGUCUUGACCUCCGGGGCUCAAGUGAUCUUCCCACCUCAGUCUCCUGACUAGCUGGGACCACAGGCACACGCCACCACGACUGGCUAGUUUUUUUUAUUGUCUGUGGAGGCAUGGUCUCACUAUGUUGCCCAGGUUGGUCUCAAAGUCCUGGGCUCAAGCAAUCUGCCACCUUGGCCUCCCAAAGUGCUGGGAUUACAGGCGUGAGCCACCGCACCUAGCCUCUAUCAUAAUUUUAUUGACAGAGCACAUGGUUGUUUAACCCAGUAAGAGUCUAUAUACUAUUCUUGAUUAGGCAAACUUUGGCUCAUGGAACAAAUUCAUUCUCAUGCUACCUGUUUUGUGAAUAAAAUCUUAUUGGAUCAGAGCCAUGGCCAUUCAUUUAUACACAUUAUACGUAGCUGCUUUCCUGCUACAACCACAAGGCCAAUCGACAGAGACCAUGUGGCCCAUCAAGCCUGAAAUGUUUACUAUCUGGCCUUUUACAGAGUUUGCUAAUCCCUGUUUUAGAUUAUAGAGGAUGUUUGAAUGGUCAAGUAGAGAUGACAAACUGAUGAUUCUAGCACUAGAGGGGCGAGUCGAGGACUGCAGAAACAAAAGCCA
rnacentral:lncRNA from 1 species